CUGUGUGUAGGUUUUAUCUGUUGUGGUUUGUGUAAGCCAGAGCGCCAAAGACAAAACGUCCAUUGUUGGUGAAAACAGUUUUGAUAGAGCAUGGGCGUUUGUAACGCCGAGGGUCGUGAGUACGAUUCCCGCUGGGACCACCCUUAUGAGAAAAAAUAAAUGUAUGCAUGCCUUACUGUAAUUUGCUCUGGAUAAAAGCGUUUGCUAAAUUGCAUAUAUUGUUAUAUUAUAUGUUAUGUUAAGGCCUUCCAGAACUGCACCCAGGGCUAUUCACUGGACUACACGCCUAGGAAGAUCACUCUGAGCAUCACAGAGGUCAGAACGCAAGACUUCGGAUCUCACGUCUGCUCCGUUAGCAAGAGACACGAGUUCACGGACUUUAGCAUCGAGCUAGCCAUGAAGACGGGUGGGUUGGUUUCGUCUAUAUUGUCUGACUUUAGCAUCGGGCUAGCCAUGAAGACAGAUCCCAUCACUUCCUUACCGACGAACAGGUGGGCUCAGUCAGGUCUUCCUGAGGGACAUCUUGUUGUCCUUGUCUGCUCUGUGUUGGUCAGCACCUGGGGAUGAACAGUAAAAAUACUGGGAAAAUAAAGAACAGAUUGA